GAUGAACGCUGGCGGCGUGCCUAAUACAUGCAAGUCGAGCGGACGGACGGGAGGCUGGCUUCUCUGAUGUUAGCGGCACGCGGGUGAGUAACACGUGGAUAACCUACCUAUAAGACUGGUAUAACUUCGGGAAACCGGAUCUAAUACCGGACAAUAUGUUGAACCGCAUGGUUCAAAAGUGAAAGACGGUCUUGCGGUCAGUGAUAGAUGGCUCCGCGCUGCAUUAGCUAGUUGGUAAGGUAACGGCUUACCAAGGCAACGAUGCAUAGCCGAACUGAGAGGGUGAUAGGCGACACUGGAAGUGAGACACGGUCCAGACUACUACGGGAGGCAGCAGUAGGGAAUCUGACGCAAUGGGCGAGAGCAUGACGGAGCAACGGAGAGCGAGUGAUGAAGGUGCUCGGAGCGUAAAACUCGGUUACGAGGGAAGAACAUCUUUGUAAGUAAAUGAGGAGAUAUUGACGGUACCUAAACAGAAAGCGACGGCUAACUACGUG
rnacentral:rRNA from 1 species